rnacentral:rRNA from 1 species
CAGUAGCCACGGUAAUACAGAGGGUGCGAGCGUUAAUCGGAUUUACUGGGCGUAAAGCGUGCGUAGGCGGCUUCUUAAGUCGGUUGUGAAAUCCCUGAGCUUAACUUAGGAAUUGCAUUCGAUACUGGGAAGCUAGAGUAUGGGAGAGGAUGGUAGAAUUCCAGGUGUAGCGGUGAAAUGCGUAGAGAUCUGGAGGAAUACCGAUGGCGAAGGCAGCCAUCUGGCCUAAUACUGACGCUGAGGUACGAAAGCAUGGGAAGCAAACAGGAUUAGAUACCCCCGUAGUCCCUGUCUCUUAUAC